AAAAAAACAACUAAACAGGUUGUUUGAGAAAGUGCAAACGUAAUGUGGUAAAUGCAAUUACUUUUGCACUUUCUCAAACAACCUGUUUAGUUGUUUUUUU
rnacentral:miRNA from 1 species